rnacentral:rRNA from 1 species
UACGGAGGAUGCAAGCGUUAUCCGGAAUGAUUGGGCGUAAAGCGUCCGCAGGUGGCUGUGUAAGUCUGCUGUCAAAGAGCGAAGCUCAACUUCGUAAAAGCAGUGGAAACUACAUGGCUAGAGUGCGUUCGGGGCAGAGGGAAUUCCUGGUGUAGCGGUGAAAUGCGUAGAUAUCAGGAAGAACACCGGUGGCGAAAGCGCUCUGCUAGGCCGCAACUGACACUGAGGGACGAAAGCUAGGGGAGCGAAUGGG